CUGGGGUUCACAUUGUUCAUCUAACUACAAACAAUUUUUUCUACAUUUGAACUUUAAGAUUUGAUAUAAACAACACAACAAACAACAAAAGCUAUAUUCACAUGAUACAAUUGUAAAAUAAUUUUGAAUAACUAAACAUACAUAGUUUUCAAAAUCCUAUUUCUUUAUUCGACUGUGUAAUCCCAUUUGACCUAUGGUUUUGAUUUGCAAACAAAUCGCUUUAGAUAGCUACAGGGGUGGUCAUCUAACCAGAAACCUGUCUGACGCAUCCAAAUCUGAACACAUUGUAUUGUGUUCCCCGGUUUGGGCUCUUCACUGGCCCAAAGAUCUGAGUCUGGACUAAUUUGCUUUUGAUAAUUGUAUUGUUGACACUCCCAUUGAUACACGUAACCAUUUUGAUUGCCACCGACCCACAUGUCUUCAUUCGUGAGAUUUCCUAACCAGUUCAUAUCUUCACGAGACAAAAUGUUAGUCAGGCAAGAAGACAUGUUUCUGCAGAACUCGUUAGCGCCGGUCCAUGUCAAUGAUUUAUUACUUACAUUACCAAGGGUGACUGGGGUAUAGAAAUAUAGUCACUUGGUCUUCUCCCGACCGGCAGUAAAGCGCUUGCCGAAGUGGGGCGUCCGUUUGGCUGUGCGGGAUGUAUCAAGUUCGCAGUCACGUCCGGUCAGAAGGGGGACGUUAAAUCCGAUGCCUCGUGUAAAGAGAGUGCCACGCUCUUUGCACGUUAAGAACCCUUGCAACAACUCUUUGAGGGGUCCGUAGGUGGCCUGUUGCACGGCAAAAUUUCUGUCCCUAUCUACUAUACCCUUAUUUUCCAGUGGCAGUCCAAAUUUCUCCGACCAUCAUCCAAGAUGGCCUCUAUUGUAUCAAC
rnacentral:lncRNA from 1 species